UACGAAGGGGGCUAGCGUUGUUCGGAAUCACUGGGCGUAAAGGGCGCGUAGGCGGCUUUAUAAGUCGGGGGUGAAAGCCUGUGGCUCAACCACAGAAUUGCCUUCGAUACUGUAGAGCUUGAGACCGGAAGAGGUAAGUGGAACUGCGAGUGUAGAGGUGAAAUUCGUAGAUAUUCGCAAGAACACCAGUGGCGGAAGGCG
rnacentral:rRNA from 1 species